AAAUUUGCUUUUUUGUUCAAAUCAGGACUUCCUUAACCAUCAUAGAUCAAGUGGCCAAUGUAUAUGUCUUGUAGGAUCUAUACAUGAAUCUGAUACAAAAUAUUUCUGUUAAUUUGGGAAUUGUUCAAUCUGUUAAGGUUACAGAUCCAUGUCAAUGCUUUGCUUACAAGGAUAUUACAACACUUGGUUCUUUUCUAUGUUCUUUUUUAUGUUCUUUUUUCUAGUCUACAUUUUGUUAAGUUUAAUUUAAUUUUGACAUUUUUUGCAUGUUACUUGUAUAGUUUGAAAUGACAAAAUCCCACUAUAGAUGCGUUUAUAGUAGAAAUAGGUCUGACACUUUGUUUUACCAAUUUUACUUAUAUUUAAAUUUGGUUAAGUUGAAAGAGUACUAUAUUGUAUCAGUUCAUUGAGUCUGAUAUGUAGGGCUGCCCUUCUGGCAAAAGUAGGUCACUGGGAUCUAAUUUUUAUUCAUGUUUAAAUCAGAUUUAAGAUUCAAUUUCAAUCCAAAAAUAAUGUCUUUCAUAUUUUGUUAAGUGGGGGAGAAAAAGGGCUUUCAUAUUUUUUCUCAUUUUUUUUUUUUUUUUUUAUUGUAUACUGGUGAAAAACUGCAUUGCUCUAAAAACUAUUGAUCUAAAAUUAAAUUUUACCAAAACAGCACAGAAUUUAAAUUGUGUAUCAGUACUACAUGAUUUGGAGACAGGGUGCGACCUCUUGUUUGCAUGAUAAAGUUGUAAGUCACUGGCGUGUAUGGAAUAUGACCGUAAACGUACCUUUUGCUGCAUGGUGAGGUCGUAAGUCACUGGCGUGUAUGAAAUAAGACCGUAAACUUGACCUGCUACAAAUCAGAUUGUUAACAUUUGGUCUGGGCUUCACAGUUUUCUUUUUAAAGGUUAGGGGGUAGAUCUGGGAUUCAAAAAUUUUCCAUUUGAGA
rnacentral:lncRNA from 1 species